rnacentral:rRNA from 1 species
GACGAACGCUGGCGGCGUGCUUAACACAUGCAAGUCGAACGGAAAGGCCCUGCUUUUGUGGGGUGCUCGAGUGGCGCACGGGUGAGUAACACGUGAGUAACCUGCCCUUGACUUUGGGAUAACUUCAGGAAACUGGGGCUAAUACCGGAUAGGAGCUCCUGCUGCAUGGUGGGGGAUGGAAAGUUUCGGCGGUUGGGGAUGGACGCGCGGCUUAUCCGCCUGUUGGUGGGGUAGUGGCUUACCAAGGCUUUGACGGGUAGCCGGCCUGAGAGGGUGACCGGCCACAUUGGGACUGGGAUACGGCCCAGAGUCCUACGGGAGGCAGCAGUGGGGAAUAUUGCACAAUGGGCGGAGGCCUGAUGCAGCAACGCCGCGUGCGGGAUGACGGCCUUCGGGGUGUAAACCGCUUUCGCCUGUGACGAAGCGUGAGUGACGGUAAUGGGUAAAGAAGCACCGGCUAACUACGUG